UUGCGCAAUGGGCGAAAGCCUGACGCAGCCAUGCCGCGUGAAUGAAGAAGGUCUUCGGAUUGUAAAGCACUCUAAGUUGGGAGGAAGAGUUGUAGGCUAAUACCUGGCAAUUUUGACGUUACCAACAGAAUAAGCACCGGCUAACUUCGUGCCAGCAGCCGCGGUAAUACGAAGGGUGCAAGCGUUAAUCGGAAUUACUGGGCGUAAAGCGCGCGUAGGUGGUUCGUUAAGUUGGAAGUGAAAGCCCCGGGCUUAACCUGGGAAUUGCUUUCAAAACUGACGAGCUAGAGUACGGUAGAGGGUAGUGGAAUUUCCUGUGUAGCGGUGAAAUGCGUAGAUAUAGGAAGGAACAUCAGUGGCGAAGGCGACUACCUGGACUGAUACUGACACUGAGGUGCGAAAGCGUGGGGAGCAAACA
rnacentral:rRNA from 1 species